rnacentral:tRNA from 1 species
GGGCGCGUAGCUCAGCCCGGUAGAGCAGGCGUCUUAUACACGCCCGGUCCUAGGUUCAAAUCCUAGCGCGCCCA